UACGAAGGGGGGCUAGCGUUGUUCGGAGUUACUGGGCGUAAAGGGCGCGUAGGCGGCGCACCAAGUCAGGCGUGAAAGCCCCUGGGCUCAACCCGGGAAUUGCGCUUGAGACUGGUGUGCUCGAGUACGGGAGAGGAUAGUGGAAUUCCCAGUGUAGAGGUGAAAUUCGUAGAUAUUGGGAAGAACACCGGUGGCGAAGGCGGCUAUCUGGACCGUAACUGACGCUGAGGCGCGAAAGCGUGGGGAGCAAACAGG
rnacentral:rRNA from 1 species